CUACGUGCCAGCAGCCGCGGUAAUACGGAAGGUCCGGGCGUUAUCCGGAUUUAUUGGGUUUAAAGGGAGCGUAGGCCGGAGAUUAAGUGUGUUGUGAAAUGUAGACGCUCAACGUCUGACUUGCAGCGCAUACUGGUUUCCUUGAGUACGCACAACGUUGGCGGAAUUCGUCGUGUAGCGGUGAAAUGCUUAGAUAUGACGAAGAACUCCGAUUGCGAAGGCAGCUGACGGGAGCGCAACUGACGCUUAAGCUCGAAGGUGCGGGUAUCGAACAGGAUUAGAUACCCUGGUAGUCCGCACAGUAAACGAUGGAUGCCCGCUGUUGGUACCUGGUAUCAGCGGCUAAGCGAAAGCAUUAAGCAUCCCACCUGGGGAGUACGCCGGCAACGGUGAAACUCAAAGGAAUUGACGGGGGCCCGCACAAGCGGAGGAACAUGUGGUUUAAUUCGAUGAUACGCGAGGAACCUUACCCGGGCUUGAAUUGCAGAGGAAGGAUUUA
rnacentral:rRNA from 1 species